UACGUAGGGCGCAAGCGUUAUCCGGAAUUAUUGGGCGUAAAGAGCUCGUAGGCGGCUUGUCGCGUCGAAUGUGAAAACUCGGGGCUCAACUCCGAGCUUGCAUUCGAUACGGGCAGGCUAGAGUUCGGUAGGGGAGACUGGAAUUCCUGGUGUAGCGGUGGAAUGCGCAGAUAUCAGGAGGAACACCGAUGGCGAAGGCAGAUCUCUGGGCCGUAACUGACGCUGAGGAGCGAAAGCAUGGGGAGCGAACAGG
rnacentral:rRNA from 1 species